GCAGAGACUGACGAGUACUUGAUCGGACGGUUUAGGCUUCCAAUACACGUUUUAAUGGAGCUGUGUGAUACUUUGGAGCCAGCGCUGCGAAGCCAUACUCAACGAUCCAAUCCCGUACAACCUCAUGUGCAGGUACUCUCCACCUUGGGAUUUUUAGCGACUGGGACAUUUCAGCGGGAGUUAGCAGACCGGGUGGGCAUAUCACAGCCAUCCAUCAGCCGCGCUCUCCCACGAGUUGUGGAUGGAAUAAAUCAACUGGCCACACAAUAUAUUUUCUUCCCCUACACAGCGCAACAACAGCUGCCGGUCAAGAGAAGGUUCUACUCUAUUACCGGUCUGCACAACGUAAUCGGGGCAAUAGACUGCACUCACGUGCGCAUUAAGGCACCCUCACCAGACCCAUUCCCAUACCUCAACCGCAAGCAAUAUCACUCAAUCAAUGUACAAGUAAUCUGCGACUCCGACAACCAUCUCUUGAACGUGGUCUCCCGCUUCCCAGGAGGUGCACAUGACUCUUAUAUUUUGCAGAACAGUUCUGUGGGAAUGCCCCUGGAACAAGGAGCUGCUGGAGACGCAUGGCUCAUUGGAGAUCGGGGGUAUGCCCUGGCUAAUGACGCCACUAACAAACCCUCAGACGCACCAAGAGGCCUCUUAUAACCAGAGGCACGCACGCACCCGCUCCACCAUUGAGCGAACCAUUGGUAUUCUGAAGGGACGCUGGCUGUGUUUGGACACAGCAGGCGGUAAGCUGCUUUACAAGCCAGAGAAGGUUUGCAGAAUAAUCAUGGCCUGUUGUGUGUUACACAUCGCUAUGAAGCGUGGUGUUCCACUUCCACUUCAGCCACCACACCAGGAUGUGCGUCCUGACCCAUUGCUGGGACCAGACAACCGACUUGGCGUGGAAGUCGGACAACAAAUACUUUCUUGUUUUUGAUUUGUUUUGUCCUUUAAAUACCACGAAUUAAACAC